GUUCCUUGCAUCCUUUUCAAACAGGGAAAUUCUCGAUCUACUAUUAUCCACUGGGACACAUCAGCGGGGUGUCUGAUCAUUUCAUCUUGCUUAUAUUCUUUUUUGUGCCAAUGCAUCAACUUUGCAUGUGCCUUGUUUCCGAAAAAAAUGCUUCAACCGUGGUACUAUAGGGGAAUACCACAUUACCUUCGUAGGAAAUUUCUUCUUGUUGGCCUACCCCUCAACAUCACUGGGGUUAUCUCGCCUAAUCUUAUAAUGCAGUGCUUUGCACACAGGACAAGCCUCCAAUUUCUCGUAUUCCUCACCGUGAUAGAGGAUACAAUCAUUAGGACAUGCAUGUAUAUUUUGUACCUCCAAACCCAGAGGGCAAACAAUCUUUUUCACUUCGUACGUUGAGGAUGGCAAUUCAUUUCCCUCGAGAAGCAUGUUCUUUAUGAUUUUCAUUAACUCAUUAAAACCCUUGUCAGAAACUCCAUUUUUGCCUUCCAUUGCAGCAUUUCCAGUGUGGUAUCUAACUUUUUCUGCCCCUGUUUGCAAUCUGGGUACAACAAUUUCUUAUGAUCAUCUAACAUACGCUUGAACUUUUUUGACUCCUUCACAUUCUCGCAGUCUUCCUUUGCAUCUCGCAACACCUGACCUAGAUCAUCGACUGGACCUUCUGCCUCGCCCAUCUCUUCUUCAGCCUCGCCCAUUGGAGCAUCUGCAAAGGCACCUCCUUGAAUCCAGUCAGGAAUGUUGUCAUCUUCUUCUUCUUCAUCAUCUUCCAUCAUAACUCCUCUUUCCC
rnacentral:lncRNA from 1 species